UGGGGCUUCUGCUGUGUCUCUAGAUGAUGCCUUAAGAAACACCCACUCCCCGUGAGGGAUGUUACCAAGAAGUCAAGAACCACCAGUAACUUUGAAAAGUCCAGAUUACUCAGUCUCGGGUAUGUGUAUCAGCAAUGUGAAAACGGACUAGUACAUCUCUAGAGGCACAAGCCAUGUGGUCCAGCCAUAAUUAUUUGUUGUCACAACUAAGUUUCCUUUCUAUAUGAAAAGAUUAUAUUGAUCAGAAUUCUAAA